rnacentral:tRNA from 1 species
GCCGACGUAGCUCAGCGGUAGAGCAGUGCUUUCGUAAAGCAAAGGUCGGGAGUUCAAUUCUCCCCGUCGGCUCCA